UAGCGUAAAAGUUAAUUAUAUUCAUAUAUACUAUAAAGCAAAUAACCAAAGCAUAAAAUUACUUUUACAGCGACCCGUGGGCCCACAUCUAACCAAAAUGCAUCGGAAGCUGAAACCUACAGCUUUUGCCGAUUUAAGUCCAAAUGAAGGUCCUUGUCAAAGUCAGCUAACUAUGGAAUUCCCCGAGCCUGAAAUGUGAGAAAAUGAGGGUGGUGAGAUUAUAAAAUCCCAGUGAGUAAACAGAUACCAUCUAAACUAUCUAAAGGCGAGUAAAUGGAGACGAAUUAAAAUAAGUCAUCAUAUUGUAAUUUCAUUACCUUUCAACUCAUUUCAACCAAAUAAACAACUAGGCUUAUGAUUUCCUGAAAAGCUUGGCUCAUGCCAAAAAUCAUUCUCAUACUCAGUUAUCAGGGAUACCUUGAUCGAGGGUUAUCCCAACCGAGUCCGCCAAGGCUGUUAAAUGUCUUUACAUCCAAAAUUUUAGCCAUGCCUUGGCGUUGACUGAGUCUCACUCUCACGCGGUGGUCCACGUGAAGUGCACUCAAAUCUUUACCUCAGGAGAUACUUCAUCCAACAUCUCCCUCCGGAGGUAAAUAUAUAAUUGGGUUACCGUGCCCUUCUCACAGGCAGUCUAAGGAAACUCUCACCACUGCAGUGACUAUGGAUUAUUUUAUCUACCACCUGAUUUAUAAAAUCUUUUUUUGCAUGACAUGACAAUUUAUUGCAACUAGCCUCUCAAGGCUGAAUACACAAUAUAAAUAAUUCUAACACCAAAAUCAGUUUAGCCAUUCAUGCUCAUUUAUUGUCAUAAGCCAUUCAAUUUAAAACCAUAAAUUUACAACACAAGCAGACAGUCUCUAAUUACUCUAUUUUCAAAAUCAAUAUUCAAUUUUCUAGAAAAUUUAUAAAAUCAUUUUAUAAAAUCACAAUUUCUCCUAAAACAUAGCAAUUUAUAAUUUAAACCCAUUUUUCAUAAAAUCACACAAUUGCAUAAAACUACUCUAGAUAAUUAAGACAAUAAUAAGUUUACUCACAAUUCUAGGAGUCGAUGUACUCCUAAUCCCAGUCUCCAAGCACAAUCUCUGUACUUUUACCAGUGUAAUUUACUCACCACCUAUCCACAAUGUACAAUACAUAAUUCACCACAUCAAUGCUUGACCAUUAUAAAAUCAAUUCAGGCUCGGUGUAUAUGCAUGAUAUGAUAUGCAACUUAUCCGACUACCGCUUAAAUGCAGUGCUGACCUAAUUCGGCCUAUUACCCCGAUUAAAUGACAAUUGUGUUCGAUUUGGCUCCAAAUUGCUCCAUUUCAUUUCUAAUAUUUCAAUUCACUAAAUACAAUUCCAAUAAUCUAAAAUUCAGCCUAACAACCCUCACAAUUCUUCUUGAAAAUUUCGGCCAUUGUGGUGCACUAUCACUAAAAAUUUUCCCAUUCCAUUUUCUCACCAUAAAUCAACAUUUCAUCAAUUUUUCAACCAAUUCACUUGAUCACAAAAUUAAUUCAUUACUUCUACACUUCACAUAGGGUUUGGCCAUUGAAGGUUCAUGGGGAAAAUGGAUUCUUUUCUUGUUGUUUUGUUUCUAAACUUGCUUAACUAACUAAAAACACUAACAUAACUUAGAAUCAAAUCAAUCUAACAUCAUUCUCUCUCCAUACCCAUUCCAACCAGCCAUGAAUUCAUCAUGAAAACAUGUAAUUUAACCAUGGAAAAUGAGGAGAAAUGCAUGGGAAAGGUAGAUUACAAGUCAAAAUCAAGAAAUUUUACCUUUUGUCACUUGUUUCCUUGAAUUUUCAUCAAUUUUCCCUUGAAUUUCUCCACCUAGGGUUUUUCUUUUUCUUUUCUCCCUUUGUUCUUCUUUGCUCUUGGUUUGGC
rnacentral:lncRNA from 1 species